UCACUUUUUUAUUCUUUCUGUCUAGUACUUUGAGAUUGCAUAAGAGUAAGCUGUAACUGUUCAAAGUACAUAAAAAAAUUGGCAUGUAGUUCUCUCUUAAAUUUUAAACUCAAUUGUCAGUUUCUGGAUUAAUUGAAAUACCACAAGCAUUGAUGGGACCUUUCUUCCUUCAUCACAUACAUGUCUUGUUAAUAGCCAGGAAUGACAUGCUAAAUGUCCAUGCUAUUGGGUGGAACCAACGGAAGCAAGAAGGCCUUCAGCAUUAUCCAGCAGAUACAUCAAGAAAGGCUCAGAGACGGGAAGAUUUGAGCAGUGAACGGGGGUGUCCUGAGAACAUUGUGACAUGUGUACAAGAUGUCAGACAAUAGGCUACUGAUGGUACCAGAUGUGAUGACCAACAUAACCUUCAGAAAUGAAUUGAACAAAUGUUUCUUAGUCUUCAUCGAAAAGCCAGCCUUUAUAAUCACACUGAAUCCAGCAACACCCUCACCAAGAAGAUUUUUUUGAUGUAUACAUGUCAAAAGUGCACCUUCAAGAAACAAAGAUCACUGUGAUGAGGGAGAUGAGACACUACUGCACCGCACCUAUCUCAGAAGCCUGGCUAGGAACAUCGGGAAAAUUAUAUCAGAAAUGUCUUCAUG